rnacentral:rRNA from 1 species
AAUCUUGCACAAUGGGCGAAAGCCUGAUGCAGCGACGCCGCGUGAGUGAAGACGUACUUCGGUAUGUAAAGCUCUAUCAGCAGGGACGAUAAUGACGGCACCUGACUAAGAAGCCCCGGCUAACUACGUGCCAGCAGCCGCGGUAAUACGUAGGGGGCAAGCGUUAUCCGGAUUUACUGGGUGUAAAGGGAGCGUAGGUGGUAGUGUAAGUCAGAUGUGAAAGCCCGUUGCUUAACAGCGGGAUUGCAUCAGAAACUACAUUACUAGAGUGCAGGAGAGGUAAGUGGAAUUCCUAGUGUAGCGGUGAAAUGCGUAGAUAUUAGGAGGAACAUCAGUGGCGAAGGCGGCUUACUGGACUGUAACUGACACUAAGGCUCGAAAGCGUGGGGAGCAAACAG